AAUAUGGUAACCACUAGCCACUUGUGACUACUGAGUGUCUGAAAGGUUCUGCUUGAAUUCUUGCCCUGGCUCUUGGUGAAGGAUCGGCCUGCUGGAUCUGAGUCAUCCACCUAUAAGAGGGACAACACCACACAUUGGUCGCUGCUCUCAAGCCCCUGGAAUACCACCCCACUUGGCUUCUCCUGAGAUGGGCUCUCACUAUAGCCCUGUUCUGGAACUCCUGGGCUCAAGCCAUCCUCCCACUUUGGCCUCCCCAAAAUGCUGGGAUUACAGGCGUGAACCACCGCAUCUAGCCUAAAAUUAUAUUGUUAAAAGACUUUGUUUCUCAGUUUGGGAUAAUCAGAAUUCAUAGUUCUGAUCUCGACUACCAGUUUUAAUGAGGUACUUCUUUCUAACUCCAUCAGCUGUGUGGCUAUCUGCAGAUACCACCCACAUAAACAAAAACUUUUUGGGAGUCCUCCAGAAUUUUUAAGAGUUAUCUAAACUAUUGCCUUUAAUGACCAGGAACUCCAAUUUGAGAAGUUACCCUACGUUAAGCCAACAGCAGCCUGGCUCCUUCAUCCUGUGCAGUAUGG
rnacentral:lncRNA from 10 species